CACUCAGCACAUCCCCUGAAAACCGGCAGGUC
rnacentral:piRNA from 1 species